UACGAAGGGAGCUAGCGUUGCUCGGAUUUACUGGGCGUAAAGCGCACGUAGGCGGCUUGAUAAGUCGGAGGUGAAAUCCUGGGGCUCAACCCCAGAACUGCCUUCGAUACUGUUGAGCUUGAGUAUGAGAGAGGUAAGUGGAACUCCAAGUGUAGAGGUGAAAUUCGUAGAUAUUUGGAAGAACACCAGUGGCGAAGGCGGCUUACUGGCUCAUUACUGACGCUGAGGUGCGAAAGCGUGGGGAUCAAACAGG
rnacentral:rRNA from 1 species